rnacentral:tRNA from 1 species
GCUCCCGUGGUGUAGUCCGGCCAAUCAUUCUGGCCUUUCGCAGAUUAUUAAUCUGAAGAUAGCCAGCCACCCGGGUUCAAAUCCCGGCGGGAGCA